rnacentral:rRNA from 1 species
UGCAGCGAGCGAAAACGGACGAGAAGCUUGCUUCUCUGAUGUUAGCUGCAGUCGAGCGAGUACGGACGAGAAGCUUGCUUCUCUGAUUGGGUUAGCGGCGGACGGGUGAGAAUAAUACCGGAUAAUAUUUUGAACCGCAUGGUUCAAAAGUGAAAGACGGUCUUGCUGUCACUUAUAGAUGGAUCCGCGCUGCAUUAGCUAGUUGGUAAGGUAACGGCUUACCAAGGCAACGAUGCAUAGCCGACCUGAGAGGGUGAUCGGCCACACUGGAACUGAGACACGGUCCAGACUCCUACGGGAGGCAGCAGUAGGGAAUCUUCCGCAAUGGGCGAAAGCCUGACGGAGCAACGCCGCGUGAGUGAUGAAGGUCUUCGGAUCGUAAAACUCUGUUAUUAGGGAAGAACAUAUGUGUAAGUAACUGUGCACAUCUUGACGGUACCUAAUCAGAAAGCCACGGCUAACUACGUGCCAGCAGCCGCGGUAAUACGUAGGUGGCAAGCGUUAUCCGGAAUUAUUGGGCGUAAAGCGCGCGUAGGCGGGUUUUUUUUAAGUCUGAUGUGAAAGCCCACGGCUCAACCGUGGAGGGUCAUUGGAAACUGGAAAACUUGAGUGCAGAAGAGGAAAGUGGAAUUCCAUGUGUAGCGGUGAAAUGCGCAGAGAUAUGGAGGAACACCAGUGGCGAAGGCGACUUUCUGGUCUGUAACUGACGCUUGAUGUGCGAAAGCGUGGGGAUCAAACAGGAUUAGAUACCCUGGUAGUCCACGCCGUAAACGAUGAGUGCUAAGUGUUAGGGGGGGGUUUUUCCGCCCCUUAGUGCUGCUGGCAAGCUAACGCAUUAAGCACCCGCCUGGGGAGUAACCGCAAUUGAAACUCAGGAAUUGACGGGGACCCGCACAACGGUGGAGCAUGUGGUUUAAUUCGA